ACUCCUACGGGAGGCAGCAGUGGGGAAUAUUGCACAAUGGGGGAAACCCUGAUGCAGCCAUGCCGCGUGUGUGAAGAAGGCCUUGGGUUGUAAAGCACUUUCAGUAGGGAGGAAGGUAGUGUAGUUAACACCUGCAUUAUUUGACGUUACCUACAGAAGAAGCACCGGCUAACUCCGUGCCAGCAGCCGCGGUAAUACGGGAGGGUGCGAGCGUUAAUCGGUAAUUACUGGGCGUAAAGCGCAUGCGAGGCGGCCUGUUAAGUCAGAUGUGAAAGCCCGGGGCUUAACCGUCGGAAUUGCAUUUGAAACUGGCAGGCUAGAGUCUUGUAGAGGGGUAGAAUUUCAGGUGUAGCGGUGAAAUGCGUAGAGAUCUGAAGGAAUACCGAGUGGCGAAGGCGGCCCCUGGACAAAGACUGACGCUCAGAUGCGAAAGCGUGGGAGCAAACAGGAUUAGAUA
rnacentral:rRNA from 1 species